AAUCCCAUUAUCUUUCCAUCAGCCGAUUUUGAAGUCACUGAUGGCUUAGAAUGGGAGAUAUUGUCAGGUCGAAUCUGAUAAAUGAUUCAUAAGCCCUAGUUUGUUGCAUCAUUUCAUUCUACCGACAAAC
rnacentral:snoRNA from 14 species